UACGUAGGGUGCAAGCGUUGUCCGGAAUUAUUGGGCGUAAAGAGCUCGUAGGCGGUCUGUCGCGUCGGCUGUGAAAACCCGGGGCUCAACCCCGGGCCUGCAGUCGAUACGGGCAGACUAGAGUGCGGUAGGGGAGACUGGAAUUCCUGGUGUAGCGGUGAAAUGCGCAGAUAUCAGGAGGAACACCGGUGGCGAAGGCGGCUCUCUGGGACGGUACUGACGCUGAGACGCGAAAGCGUGGGGAGCGAACAGG
rnacentral:rRNA from 1 species